UGUCAUAAAGCCGCAACUGUUCCUUCACGCCUCGGUCUGUCUCCACCGAUGCCAAAUAUACAUCUUCCAUUGUGGCACCCUCUUCUAAGCCUGUUUGAAAACAAGCAGGAAUGUCCCACUGCUAGUGACUUGACCAGGCCUUGACCUUGCCUGGCAUCUCCAUGGAGGGCUGCAUUCUUAGAUGACUGCACUAGCUAUUUCCAAUAGUGACGCUGUAAAUACAUUAAUAUACAUGUCCUGUGCCAAAGCUAAGCCAGAAAGUCUCCUGCUAGCCUGGUCAAGAGAGGUCAGGCCAAGCAGCACCAGGUACCACAGAACAGCAAGGUGCAGGAUUUGGAUAAACACAACACUUAAGUCACAAAACGAGAGAUCAUCCCAGGUAUCAGGCAAUCACUGAAUCAUAGAAUAGUUAAGGCUGAAAAAGAUUUCCAAGAUCAUCGAGUCAAACUGCUCAAUCAGCACUGCCAAGUCCACCACUCAACCACAUCCCUAAGUGCCAUAUCUACGUGGUUUUGGAACACUUCCAGGAAUGGUGCUUCCACCACUUCCCUGGGCAGCCUGC